GGAGACGUGGGUGAGUGGCUUAAACCAACGCCUUGCUAAGGCGUCGAACGGGCAACCGUUCCGAGAGUUCGAAUCUCUCCGUCUCCGCCA
rnacentral:tRNA from 1 species